GACGACCGCUGGCGGCGUGCCUAAUACAUGCAAGUCGAACGCAGUGGGGACGGGUGAGUAACCCGUGGGUAACCUCCCAUCAGAGGGGAUAACACUUGGUAACAGGUGCUAAACCGAUACUGAUGGAUGGCCCCGCGGUGCAUUAGCUAGUUGGUGAGGUGACGGCUCACCAAGGCCACGAUGCAUAGCAGACCUGAGAGGGGGAUCGUCCACACUGGGACUGGGACACUGUCCAGACUCCUACGGGUGGCAGCAGUAGGGAAUCUUCGGCAAUGGACGAAAGUCUGACCGAGCAACGCCGCGUGAGUGAAGAGGGUUUUCGGAUCGUAAAACUCUGUUGUGAGAGAAGCGGUAUCUAACCAGAAAGCCACGGCUAACUACGUGCCAGCAGCCGCGGUAAUUC
rnacentral:rRNA from 1 species